UUGGUGUUUGUCAAGGUGUAACUUUGGUUUGAGAAGUGGGGGGGGCAUGCGGGGAAAUGUUUUCGAUUUG